CUCCAAGAGUGUUUAACAGACGGACUAUAACUGACAUACCUAAAUCUUAUCCGUUGCUUACUAUCUCUAGCUAUGUUUCCUAAUUCAUUCUAAUUUUCCUAACGUCUUAUCCACAGAUUUUGAUAUUAUUCUCUCAAUCAUUGUUCUAUUUUUAAUGAUUGAGGAUUCUUUCCUACUGUAUGAAUUUAUCUUAUGGUUCUAACUAGAUUCUCUUGUAACUUUUCUUACUAAUUGAAUUUAAAUCUAUUUCUAUUGUGUACCUAUUAAUAUCUUCCUUCAUUUUUAAACUUCUUAUCAUGAUCUAUUCUUCCCUUGAUAUAUGAAGGUGCAUUGGAAAGCACAUCUCUUAUGAUCUCUUCUGUUUUAUAUUAUCUAAUCUAUUACUCAAAUUCUAGUCUAAUCAUCAUCUGUCUAAUCUGUAAAAUGGAGAUUCCUGCUGUCAUCAUAAACAUUGCCGUAAGUAAAUAUGCUAAUAACUAAAUUUAAUCCUUUGGUGUAUUUCAGAUCAUCUGCUAUGGAAUUUUCCGAUGUCCGGCACGUUGUGGUUUUUUCCAUUGCUGAUCAGGUACGUAUCUAUUCAAUACUUUAUGCCUUGUUUCUGUGUCUCUCUUCUUUCAGGCGCUGCAUCAUCCUUCUGGAGUCGUGGAGUCCUCCUGCUUGUCCUUACGCCAGGUGAAAUACUACAACGGUGGACCGGACUUCAACUUCAAUGGCAUGCAUCUAGUAAUGUAUAAUGCUUAUAAUUAUGUGAACUGUAAAGAAGUCUAAUCAUCAUCUGUCUAAUCUGUAAAAUGGAGAUUCCUGCUGUCAUCAUAAACAUUGCCGUAAGUAAAUAUGCUAAUAACUAAAUUUAAUCCUUUGGUGUAUUUCAGAUCAUCUGCUAUGGAAUUUUCCGAUGUCCGGCACGUUGUGGUUUUUUCCAUUGCUGAUCAGGUACGUAUCUAUUCAAUACUUUAUGCCUUGUUUCUGUGUCUCUCUUCUUUCAGGCGCUGCAUCAUCCUUCUGGAGUCGUGGAGUCCUCCUGCUUGUCCUUACGCCAGCUCUAUCUAAUCCAAAAUGGAAAACGUGUCAAGAAGAAGAAAACCAGCAAUGGAAAAUCAAACGACCCAACAAAUCCCAUAUGGAAUGAGGCAUUCAACUUCAGUGUACCUACAUCUGCUGUAAACUCAACAGGAAUUGAGAUUUACGUUGUAUCGACCGGAGGUGAAGCCAAUGCAAUCGGCAGUUGCGGUCUCGGCCUACAAGAGCAUGGCCCCGGAAAGCAGCACUGGCAGGAUAUGAUCCACAACGCACGGAAACCCACAGCCAUGUGGCACUAUCUCAGAUAAGUUGCAAAUUCCACCAAGGACUACAUAGAAACGUAAGACAUAAGGAAUCAAGCCAGAGCAACCCGAAGGGAAUUAGUUAUUCGUGUAUUGACCAGAUAGACCAAAGUGACGGAGCAAAAUCGACCACAGGGAUCCUGCGGACUUAGGGAAAAUGUAGGUUAUUUUGAGUAAUGCGUGUAGCGGUAGUUAGUUAGGCAGGCAGAGAUUUGCAACUGAUUAAGUGUCCAUUACCAGAAAUUAUGCUGUUUAAAAUGUGCUUUUCAGCCCGAAAUAUUCCAUUCCAUUCAACGGAGUCCUGCAUGGUUCAAAUGUACCUGAAACGUUUUGUAAAUUGAUUGAUGUAUUGGAGAUUAAAUGAAUAGUUGAACCUUCCUUUCCCUGUUGUAAAAUAGCAUUCAGCCUUUCCUGUACGAGGAUCCUUAAAUGUCCUAAGUAGGUAGGGUGCUGCACCCUUGACUAUUUCUGCUUCAAGUAGUUGAGGUUUUUGUUCGAUUGAAAUUUAUACCCUGAGCCACUUGAACGUCAUGUUUUUGUUGACAAAUUUUUCGCCGCUUUAUUUUCUUCUUUUGCAAUAAAACGAUUUGAGUGGAGGGUCUUGAGUAGCAAUUUUCAGAAUUAAUAGUGUGUUUUGUUGUCAUCGCAUGGGAAUCAAUUUCAUUCAUGGGGUAAAAGUGGAAUAAUGUCGCAAUGGGUUUGGGGACAUAUGGAAAUUAUUGGCUUUUUAUUAUACGAUUUUGAUUUUUGAGUGGUAUUUGCUGGCAAUGGCCCUUCAAUAAUUUCGAAGUAUGUAUGUAUCCUUAUAAUUAAUAUUUCAGAAGGAAGAGCUAAUUUCGUAGUUUAUUUCUAUCUGCCAGAAACUGAUAUAAAAUUUUGUUAAGAUGAAAUUAAUUACACCCAAUCAAUGAAGAAUUGAAAAGAUCUUGCUCCCUUAUUUUAGAUGUUUACAUUAAGUUUUCUAUAUUUUCUCCCAAAUGUUUGGUUUAAAUGGGAUAGUAAGGUGUUCAUUAUACAGAAUGAUGUAAACACACUUUAAAUAUUUUGCUUUUCUGCUUUUGCCUUUCCAUAAAUGUUCUUCUGCCUUUGCAAUUUUGAGGCGAUACCUUCUACUUUUGACUUAAAGUACUUCCUACCACCAAAAUAUCGAGCUACAAAUGUGCUAGCUAGGAAGGGAGGGGGAAGGGCACCUUUAUCCUAUCUAUAGGAGGCUUCGCCCCUUAUCCAACAUCUGAAUUAAGGAUCAUCUAUUCUCAUCUUUAACUAUUAGAAAAAUUAUCCAAUUCUACCUCCAAGAGUAUCGGGUGAC
rnacentral:lncRNA from 1 species